CCCGUUGAACUCGAUUAUCCGUGGCGGAGAUAUUCACUAGUAGGUGGCGGGCUGUGUAUGCAGACCGGCACCCUGCUCGGCACUUAUCUCUUGCCUCACGCGGACAUUGCGAUCCAUUACGAACGCCUCUCAUUCGAGCAGCAAAGGCCCGUCGAUGCUCCCUUGGUGGUUAUUGCUUGCACCCAUCGUAGCGACGCUCAGUUCGGAAGGCCUGUGUCGCCAGCUGGGGCUUAUACCACGCGGUGUAGCGUACGGGCGCGUGAUGGAUUACCAAGACACCAGACGUUGGCUACCCCUCACCGGGUACGCCACCCCUCCCUGGGGGUGCACUCGUGCUGGACUGUCGAUCGGCAAUGAUCACAUCGAGGUACAUUCGGG
rnacentral:rRNA from 1 species